GCCAUUCCCGUUCGAGUCCGUCGCCCACCACAACGGCCUCGGGCUCUUCUUCUUCUCCCUCACCCAGGAUGCCACACUGUUUCUAGUAAAUGAUGCAAAGGAGAUUCAACAAUUUUUCUAGUUCUUCUGAAGCUGUUCUGGAACCCCGAAGAUAAAAAGUGCUAUUGAUGCAAUAUGAAACAUAGAUGGUCUUCAACGUACAGAGAAAGAAAAUGUAUCCAGGAUUUACUUGACUGGCUUUCGCUAGCAUUUGAAUUUGAGAGGAAGAUGAUGACUUCUAU